UCUUUUGAGGGGUUUAUUCAUAAGAAACUAUGUUUUAUUUCUUAUAUAUAAAUAAAAAUAAUGGAGUAACAAUCUUUCUUAUGUUUUGGUUUAAUAAUAAAAAUAUUAAACCAAAACAUUUACUUAAUGUUUUUGCGAGACAUACAUGUCUCCAAUAAGCACGAUUCACCCUAUUUGACAUCAAGGACUGAUUCAUAGUACAUCAGCGUGAGAUACAAUGGUCAUUUUUUUCCAGGCACUGACUCGACUUACCGAGGCUUCAGAAUAAUUCUUAGGACAUCCCAGCGAUAUAUGUUGGUUAUUCUGCCUCUGGGUCCUUUUGACAGAAUCCUAGCACAUCUCUGCAAGAUACGUCGGUCAAAGACAAGUGAGCCGAAGUCUCGCAGAGACAUUAUCAGUCUGCAAGCCUUCUUUUUUCUACCAAACAUGUCCCAGCUGACUUCGGAGAGAUUCGAUCGCGUUGUCCAAGUCUCGAACAAACUCUAUCGUGUCAACCAAAUCUCAGACAGCUCCAGAAACGUCAUCCAGAUCUCAGAUGGCCUCAUCCGAGCUGAACCUUCACUACACCAAAUUUGGGUUUUAGUAACAAUAGGAUUCAUAACUAAAUUUUUUUUGGUAACUCAAAUGAUCCAUUAUAAAUCUAGUAACCCAUAUAAAGGGUUAGCAAAUUACGUAAUAGUUACCAUAAUUUGGAAUUAAUUCAUAAAAACUAAAUAACUAUUCAAAGUGUGAGAUCAUUAGUUAUACAUCCCUAACACAUUUUUUACUAAAUCACUAUUAUAAUUAUUCCUACCAAAAUUCAGAUUCUACUAAAAUGAAUCCCAUCUUUAUAACUCUUUGUCUUUUUUAUAAGUAACACACUUGCACAUUGCUAACACAAUGGUUUAUUUUGAAAUUUUGAAAAUGUAAAAAUAGAGUUUUAAGUUUUUAAAAAUCUUUUGUUUGGAACCAACUAACAGUGCUAGGACCUCUAGAACAACCUAAACCCAGAACUAAUCCACACCGUUGCCUGUCGGAACCAAACUUGAGUUCCCAACCAAACCAAAAAUCGGAUUUCAUUAUAAACAAAAGAAACACAGUUGAACGAAACACAACAAACCCCAAUCAAUAAAAACCCUUGACGAAUUUUCUUUUAUCAAACGAGUAAAAUCAAUCAAAUUCGAAUCCAACUCCAAUCAAUGAAAAACCCAUCGUCAUUCAAUCGAUUUCUCUUUGUUUUCUUCUUACUCAUCAAUUUCGGAGGAUUUGAAGACGGAUGAUAAAAAUGAUGGUGAUUUGUUUCUGGUGAAAUUUGUUCUAAAUCGUUGCUGGCAGGGACAUCUAGGUUUGAAUGAUGAUUAUGGUGGUAAUGGCAAUGAAACGAAAAUGAUGAUGGUAUGACUGUUGGGGUUUCAGGUAAACUCGAACUAGAACGCCAAACAUGUCUUUAAGUCCGGUACAUGACUUAUCAAAGGCAUGAUUCUGGAUUACCAGUGUGAGUACUAUUCACUAUUGUUUGUUUCACAUUGUUAUUAACUCGUCUUUGCUUUAACCUAAUUAAAACCAGCUAGUUGUGUAUGAACCUGUUAACCCUUAAGUUCUUAGUGGAACGAUGAAAUAGGUUGUUAAGAUGUAUGUCACAAGAUGUGCAUCAGUAAGGAGAUCCACCUUUGCCUCAUUUUUAUUCUAUGUUUUCAUAUUUGCUUUGUUUCCAAGGCCCUGCUUUGAUGAAUUCUGUAGUAAUAUGGGUUUUGCCUUACUUAUAAGCUGUAUAGUUCCAUCCAGCUCUUAUCUUAGAUGAGCUUCUGUAACAUUAAAGGUCAACACAAGUGUUCCGUAGCGACACAAUUCCAGAGAUCAAAGAAUAAACCAAUAAUAAUUUUGCUUAGAUUCUUUUGUCAUUUCUAUUCACUUUUGUAUGUCCAUUGUACUCUAGAAUGAACCAAUCAUAAUUUUGCCAAAAGCUUUUUUGCUCGUAUGAGCGGUGUUUUUCUGGUACAUGGAAUUGUAGUGUUAUUGUGUAGCCUAUUACUACUACGUGCACUAUGCUUAGCUGUUGAUCUUUUUUCAAUUGCUGGAUUUAUAUUUUCAAACUUUUAAAACAUAGCGUGAAAAACAAGCCAGGUUUUCAUUUCAAAAUAUUUGAGAAAUCUCUAAUCAAUGGGUUGUUAUUCCUUCACCUAAGCGACUAAUGAUACGGGUAGACGAUCUUGAGAAGCCUAGUCCUGGCAGCUUUCAAAACGUUCUAGUCGAUAAACCCCAUUUGGCUUGUUUGCUCGAGGUUUAUGGUGCCAAUAAGACGAGAAUAACCAUAAUAUGAUUUCUGAUGAGAAAAGUUUGGAGAACCAGAAUCAUUGAAAUGAAUUGGGGAAACUGUGGUUGAAUUGGAGAGUCUGGAGCAUUACAAGAGGAAGUGUUUUCAGUUGUCUGCGGAGCUUGAGAAGAAGAAAGUGGAGUGCACCACACUCCAAGGUAAAUUAUUAGGGGUGGUGGAGACUAGAAACACUUUCGAGGAUGCAGCUGAAUAUUGGAGGAAGAUGUAUCCCGAUUUGGAGAGCCGAGUUCUGAGGGUGGAAAAUGAUAAUUCAACAAUGACAUGUUUAUUUUCGAAUUUGGAGAGCUUACUCUCGAGUCAUGGAAAGGAAAGUUCAAUAUUAAGAUGCACAGAAUUGCGUAAUUCUGAAGAGACAGAGUCUGAAGCGUGGGGUUUGCAGUAUAAAGUUACUCAAAGUGGUGAAAAGCACAACAGGAGCAACCAUAAUGCUGAAACCAGCCGUGAAGGGAGGAAGGGUUCUCAUGUGUUUUGAGUUGAAAACCAAAGAGAAUGUGCAUGGCAUUGGCAUCAAUAAACAUCAUGAAUCGGAGUCUGAAUUUCACUAUUACUCUGCUGUGAACAUUUCUUCUGGAAGUCUACACUUAUCAAGUGGGGGUGAGAAGGUUGAAGAAGGGAAGGGUUGGGGAUGUUCGGAGGAGAGACCAUCUCAACAUGGAUCAUCAUCUUGAGAUCAUCUGAAAAUGAGUACAGAGCCUUUUGUGAACAUGGUCGCAGAUGAUGACAGUGUUGAAAUUCUUGGCGAAUCUGAAGACUCUGGUAAUUCUACUGAUUCAGAAGGUUCUCUUGGGACUCUUAUGGACAUGCUGGCGAUGAAAUAUAGAAAUAGGGACGAAGACAGAUAAAUAAAAUGGAAGUUUGAGAAUGAUAUGCUUUCUUCAUUUGAAGAGGAUCCUGAGCUGUGUUUGAAAGCUGUAUGUGCUCUCUAUCAACAGCAGAUAUGUGAAGACGAAAUAUCAGACAAGGGGUUGUUCCAUAAAAGUGAUGUGCUCAGACUUUGUAUAUCAACUAUUGAAGGAAUUGGGUUGCACCAGAAAAAUUAGUGGUCGAUUUCUCGUAAUUGUCAGAUAAAGGAUUUGCUAGCUUCCCAAGAUUUCAAAUCUGUAGUUGAUGGAAGCAACGGAGUUUCUUGCUCAUGGCUGCACCUGCACAGGGCAGGAUAGCCAUUCAGCAAAAUGGUCAUACUUACGUAGAAGAACAAUGAACAAAAUGGAACGAGAAGAAUCAACAGUAACAUAUUUUCUUGGUAUUUGGUUUUCAUACACUUUUAGCUUUAUUGAUAUUUUCACUUAACAGGUGUGCUACUUUGGCCAAGUUUCUAAUGGAUGAGCACUGCGAAGGUGACCUUAACAAGUCUGUCAAAGAGUUGGAGACAUUUGAUCCUAAAGCAGUUGAUGACUGCAAGAGGCUGGCUACAAGAUACUCGACGCAGUUAUUCAGUAUCUAUCAAAACAGAAAAGAUCCUUUUUUCCUUCCAUCUAUAACCGCCAGCCAUGGAGAUGAAACUGCUAAAUGAUUUAUUGUUGUAUAAAUGGCCUUCAAUAUUUGCGCUAGGCAUUGCAGUCUUACAUCUCCGUUUAAUCUUUUCUGAUUUUGUUGUGUAACUGGUUAAUACACCAAAUGGCAAAUUGGAUGUGCAUCGAAUCUCCAAUGUAGUAAGUGAUAUUUUUGUAGUUACACUAGAGGUUGUUUUGAUAGGUGCACAUGGAGAAAAAAACAGCCUUUGUUUAUCUCAUGGAACUGAAAUGAAAUGUGUAAAAUCUGAUUACUAAAUUUAAAGCUAGAUUACCCCUUUUAUUA